rnacentral:rRNA from 1 species
UACGAAGGGGGCUAGCGUUGUUCGGAUUUACUGGGCGUAAAGCGCACGUAGGCGGACAUUUAAGUCAGGGGUGAAAUCCCAAGGCUCAACCUUGGAACUGCCUUUGAUACUGGGUGUCUUGAGUCCGGGAGAGGUGAGUGGAACUGCGAGUGUAGAGGUGAAAUUCGUAGAUAUUCGCAAGAACACCAGUGGCGAAGGCGGCUGUCUGGUCCGGUUCUGACGCUGAGGCGCGAAAGCGUGGGGAGCAAACAGG